rnacentral:rRNA from 1 species
CAAUAGCGUAUAUUAAAGUUGUUGCGGUUAAAAAGCUCGUAGUUGGAUUUCUGGUGGAGAAGCUCCGCCCUCACGCGAGUGCGCGGAGGCUCUCUACCAUCCUUCUGUUAACCCUCGUGGUCCUUUAUUGGAUGCUUGGGAGCCCAGAUAUUUUACCUUGAGAAAAUUAGAGUGUUUCAGGCAGGCUUUCGCCCGGAUACAUUAGCAUGGAAUAAUAGAAUAGGACUUUUGCCUCUUCUGUUGGUCUGAGGGGUCGAAGUAAUGAUUAAUAGGGAUAGUUGGGGGUGCUAGUAUUCAGCGGCCAGAGGUGAAAUUCUUGGAUUCACUGAAGACUAACUUAUGCGAAAGCAUUCACCAAGGAUGUCUUCUUUAAUCAAGAACGAAAGUUAGGGGAUCGAAGACGAUUAGAUACCA